rnacentral:rRNA from 1 species
GACGAACGCUGGCGGCGUGCCUAAUACAUGCAAGUAGAACGCUGAAGAGAGGAGCUUGCUCUUCUUGGAUGAGUUGCGAACGGGUGAGUAACGCGUAGGUAACCUGCCUUGUAGCGGGGGAUAACUAUUGGAAACGAUAGCUAAUACCGCAUAACAAUGGCUGCCACAUGUCAUUUAUUUGAAAGGGGCAAUUGUUCCACUACAAGAUGGACCUGCGUUGUAUUAGCUAGUAGGUGAGGUAAUGGCUCACCUAGGCGACGAUACAUAGCCGACCUGAGAGGGUGAUCGGCCACACUGGGACUGAGACACGGCCCAGACGCCUACGGGAGGCAGCAGGAGGGAAUCUUCGGCAAUGGGGGCAACCCUGACCGAGCAACGCCGCGGGAGUGAAGAAGGGUUUCGGAUCGUAAAGCUCGGUUGUAAGUCAAGAACGGGUGUGAGAGUGGAAAGUUCACACUGUGACGGUAGCUUACCAGAAAGGGACGGCUAACUACGUG